rnacentral:rRNA from 1 species
AUGUUAGUUGACUCUUUCCAUGAGCACAUCACCAAUUUUAUUUAUCCUUCGACUCAAUUGUCUCAGAUUGCGGUCGUUAUAUGGGUGCUCUACAAGUCAUGGGGGUCCACGACUGAAGUGUUUCACGAUGCAGCUAUUUUGAUUUCCAUCGGUGGGAUUUUCAAAUGCUUACAGAAGCCAUGGGCUCUCAACAGUGCUAGCUUUAAUAGCCUAGCUAAUUCUUGUGGUCCAGCUCAGAGGACUGCAACCAGAGAAGAAGAGCUUGAAAAAUAUGUCGAGCAAGCAAGGGCCUUCAUUCUAGGAGAAGAUACAUCGGACGGGGAUGUGGUAUAUAUGCCCGGGAUGCUAUUCAUAGAUUGGGCAUAUCCCUAUUGUGAUCGCUUUACUAAUCUGAAGUUCUUCUUUUGGUAUGGCGACCAAGAGACUCAUCGUGAACUGAAGUACACACUCUCCAACAUUUUUAUAGUUCUAUACACCAGAAAGUCGAUCCCAAAUCAUCCAAAUUUGGUCGUCUCUAUUUUUGGUGUAAUAAUGACAAUGCUUUUUUGCAUCACGUCGUUAUUUUUGGCUUUACUUGUCACUGGUGUCGUUGCAAAAAAAAGUGUGGAUCGGACAGUGACACUUGUGCUAUUGUUUGGCACUCUUGUGCUAGAGAUCCUUACGUUCGAAGUUAAGGACUCUUUUAAAUAUAAGCAGUGGCCUGACAGGGUUGCCAAACAUAGCGUUCUAGGAUACAUUACCCGCAACAGAAGGCACAACAUGUUCGUGAGAUUCAUGAGCUUCUUCCAGUGCAAGGACUUCCUUGACAAAAAUUGGUCCAUGGAGCCUUGCUACACGUCUAUGAACAUCACAAAGUUAGUCCAUCAGCAUGUUCGAGAUGGGUGGAAGGAUUAUAUAAAAGACGCUGAGAGUUACAGGGAGUUCAACGACAUAAGGGGCCAGUGGACACUUGUGCGCGAGAGCUGUGAUCAAAGCCUGGGCUGGAGCUUAGAAAAGCCAUUUGAUGAGAGUGUUCUUCUUUGGCACAUUGCCACAGAUUUCUGCUUCCAUCAGAUGGACAUACCCCCUGACCAUGAAUGUGCAUCUCGAUCUAGAGAAAUAUCCAAUUACAUGAUGCACCUAUUGUUUAUGAAUCCUGAGAUGUUAAUGCCAGGUAGUCGAAGAAAUCUUUUCAAAACUGUAUAUCGAGAACUCAGAGACAUCCUCAAAGGUGAGGGAACAUCCAAUCAGGAAAAGGGGAUUGCGCAGAAAACCAUUGAUAAGUUGAAGCACAAUGUGGAUUUGAAAAUCAAUUUUAUUUACGAUGCUUGGGUACUUGCUAAAGGGCUCAUGGAUAUAGGUGAUGACAGCAAGAUGUGGAAGGUGAUCCAAGGCGUGUGGUUAGAGAUGCUCUGCUUUUCGGCUGGCAGAUGCCGAGGCUACCUGCAUGCCAAGAGUCUAGGCUCCGGUGUGGAGUAUCUCUCUUUUGUAUGGCUCCUCCUGGCAUAUAUGGGGAUGGAAACAUUCUCGGAGAGGAUUCAACGAACCAUGUCGAUUAAAUUGUUGAAACAGAGAAUAGAAAACCUUCCAAACGGAGAAUCAGGUAAUAGCAACUUUUCUGUUUCCCCAGAUGAAGGCGCCGCUCCAUUUGAUGAAAUUGUUGUCCUGCCAUAA